rnacentral:rRNA from 1 species
CAGGGGGAUAAGCGGAAGAAAUUCCGUCUAAUACCGCGUAAUAACUCCGAGGGGCAUCUCUUGGGGUUUAAAGGGUAACACCGGCUACGGAUGGCCAUGCGGCGCAUUAGCUAGUUGGCGGGGUAACGGCCCACCAAGGCGACGAUGCGUAGGGGUUCUGAGAGGAAGGUCCCCCACACUGGUACUGAGACACGGACCAGACUCCUACGGGAGGCAGCAGUGAGGAAUAUUGGUCAAUGGGCGCGAGCCUGAACCAGCCAAGUCGCGUGAGGGAAGACGGUCCUAUGGAUUGUAAACCUCUUUUGUCGGGGAGCAAAAGACGCCACGCGUGGCGUUCCGAGAGUACCCGAAGAAAAAGCAUCGGCUAACUCCGUGCCAGCAGCCGCGGUAAUACGGAGGAUGCGAGCGUUAUCCGGAUUUAUUGGGUUUAAAGGGUGCGCAGGCGGAAGAUCAAGUCAGCGGUAAAAUUGAGAGGCUCAACCUCUUCGAGCCGUUGAAACUGGUUUUCUUGAGUGAGCGAGAAGUAUGCGGAAUGCGUGGUGUAGCGGUGAAAUGCAUAGAUAUCACGCAGAACUCCGAUUGCGAAGGCAGCAUACCGGCGCUCAACUGACGCUCAUGCACGAAAGUGUGGGUAUCGAACAGGAUUAGAUACCCUGGUAGUCCACACAGUAAACGAUGAAUAAUAGUUGUUCGGGGAGAAUGAUCCCUGAGUGAUACAG